AAUGGGCGAAAGCCUGACCCAGCCACGCCGCGUGAGUGAUGAAGGCCUUCGGGUCGUAAAGCUCUGUGGGGAGGGACGAAAAAGACGACUAAUCACCGGACUUGACGGUACCUCCUUAGCAAGCACCGGCUAACCAUGUGCCAGCAGCCGCGGUAAUACAUGGGGUGCAAACGUUGCUCGGAAUUAUUGGGCGUAAAGCGCGCGUAGGUGGUUGUUUAAGUCAGAUGUGAAAUCCCUUGGCUCAACUGAGGAAGUGCAUCUGAAACUGAAUAGCUAGAGUGCGAAAGAGGGUCGCGGAAUUCCCGGUGUAGAGGUGAAAUUCGUAGAUAUCGGGAGGAACACCGGUGGCGAAGGCGGCGACCUGGUUCGAUACUGACACUGAGGCGCGAAAGCGUGGGGAGCAAA
rnacentral:rRNA from 1 species